rnacentral:lncRNA from 1 species
AUCGCGAGAUCAGGAAGGUGGCCGAGUGUGUCGCCGCGGCCAUCAGGCACUUCUCCUUCCUGCCCUUGUAUGAAGAAGGAUGUGUUUGCUUCCCCUUGUGCCAUGAUUGUAAAUUUCCUGAGGCCUCCUCAGCCCUGCAGAACUGGGGUUAUAGCCAUGUGACUGAUCUUCGUCCAAGAAUAUGUAAAGAAAAAGUGUUGAGUUGGCUUUUAGGGCUAGAGCAAUGUAUCUUAGGCUCACUUAAGGAAGCUGUAGAGAUGAGCCCAAGGAGGGAAACCAGAAGAGCCCCCCAGGCUCACCAGUUGUUUGUUGGCUCCCUACAAACAUGUCAUUCAAGUGGCUAAUCUUACAACAGCACAAAUUCAUCUAACCAGCAGAAAGAGAAGAGGAGGCUCCAAAGGCACUUGACUACUGAGCAUCACCCUGGACGUGUACAAGUCUGCGUCCUUAUUGUUUUCUUCAUUGGGCCGAACUUUCUGGUCCUCAUCCAACAGCUCUUCUAUCACGUGUUCGAAAGUGUCAGCCAAUGAUGUCAAGCCUCUUGAACCUGCCUUGGGCCCAUUCACGCUCUCCAGAGUCCCAUGGGUCCGCACACCUGGAGAUACUCUAUUAUAGCAAAGAAGAAAGAUAAUUUCAUUGAGCCAUCCUGUUUUACAGGAAAUUCUGCAAGUGGCAACGUGGGUCCAUUCCGUGUGUGUCACUAGAGCUGGCGCAAGCCCAUGGCCAUGGUGAGGCAGCGUUUCCACUGGAACUAAUCUGAUACCUGCACCAGCUCUUGCAACUGUGCAGUGUUCCCACUGCAAACUACGGAUGGGGUAAAAGACUGCUCACCUCCUAUUUCUCAUCUAAUCUCACACACUCUGUUUGAUGAGGCUAUGGAGAAACAGGUCUUCUCAUACACUAAAGGUGGGAGUACAAACAAUUCAAGCCCUGUGCAGGACAAUUAGGCAAUACCUAUCAAAAUUAUACAUGAUUUUUCCUGCUGACCCAGCAAUUCCACUUCUGGGAAUAAUUGACAGAUAUAGGUGCAUAUGUACAAAAUGAUGGAAAGCUCUCUGGUAUAUAUUAGUAAGUGAUAAAACAAGGUGUAAAAUAGUGUAUAUAUGGCUACUACCUUUUGUUUUAAAAAUGGGGGAAAAUGGUGGAGCUUGCGGUGAGCCGAGAUCGUGCCACUGCACUCCAGCCUGGGCGACAGAGCGAGACUCCGUCUCAAAAAAAAAACAGGGUGGGGUGGGGGGGAAAUAAUAGUACAUACUCAUAUUUACCUGUAUCUAUAUAAAACACACUAUCAAGGAUUCACAAGAAACUAAUACAAAUGAUCACCUUAUAGAUGGUAUGUAUUGGGGGAUACUGAGGUGAGCAGGGUAUAAGUGGGGCAAGACUUUUCAGUGUAAACUUCUUUUAAAUUUUAUUUUGAUUUUUGAAUAAUGUAAAUUAACUGUCAAAUAAUUAAAUUAAAAAUAACCAAUUUAUUAACAAAA